rnacentral:tRNA from 1 species
GACCAGGUGGCCGAGUGGUUAAGGUGAUGGACUGCUAAUCCAUUGUGCUCUGCAUGCAUGGGUUCGAUUCCCAUCCUUGUCC